rnacentral:lncRNA from 1 species
AUAGAGCAAUUUUCCGUUUUAAUAAUUUCCCACACAACAGAAAAAUGUCAUGGAGACAGAGUUCGCACAGAUCUUGGUGGUGCAACUCGAAUAGCUUAAAUCGACGCUUGUCUUCGAGGCAGCCUAUUUCUCUGCAUUAAACAUGUUCAUUAUUCCUCAAAGGCAUGUAAUUGUUAAUUGAUCCAACGUUAUUAUGCUCCUUGGCGCAGGAACAAGUCAAACUUCACACAGCCAUGGUAAUUAGCCUCUGACUUGACACAUCUAUUCUCUAAACUGCAAAUACGUCGAAGAGUUGAAACUUGCCCAUCGAGGCAUAAUCUCUACUCCUGUUAUCACGAGAUCAGUAAAAAAACAGCAUUCUAAACCCACAUCGCAUGAGUUUGCAACCGAAUAACGUUACCUAAUGUUUAGAGUUAUGGUUUGAGGGCCGCAGGAUUGUUGUGACUGCCACCAUGUUCAACUGGUCGACGUUUGCCUGGUAAUUAGCUAUUCUUCGGUAAACCUCGUUUGUGAGCUUAGCUUCGCCCUGUUCGAAAUUUUGCAAUGGGGUUAUUGGAGAAACUAGAAUUAUCCUGUCUCUACGUAGGUGUUGUGUAUGGUGAGAAAUCUUUUCCACUGAUUUGUGGGUUGAGCGUCGAAUUUCGCUUUGAUCAGGAACAUCUCUGAAGGGCCUUCAAUCGAUGUGCCUGGCGUUGAGAAACCAGUGCGCUGUGUGUAAGUUUCACUGCUUUGAGUUUGUGCAUAUAUAUAUAGUUCUUGAUAAUUUUAUCAUUUGCAGCAGUGUCAGUAAGUACGUACGUAUGUGUGUGUACAUAUAAAUGUACUCAAUAUAAUUUACCAAUGUUAAUCAUAGUGUAAGCGGAUAUGCAGAAACGUUUCAGUUCCAAAUCCUUUCCCCUGGACUUCUCCAGAUAUUUCUAAAUUGUGAGAUACAAUUCUCACCACAUUGUAUUUACUAGAGAGGUUCAUUGAGAUAGAGUUCAUUUUGAUUUGUAUGUUUUAUUGUAUCUGUUGAAAUUUGCCAUGUUUAGGAGCUGGCAUUUGGUGUUUGUAUAAUGGAGUUUAUUUAAACUAUUUUUAAGAUGUCGUUCAUGAUUUGUGUCAAAAUUACCCUUUAGACAUGGAUGAACAUAUAAAUUAAUAAAUAAAUAAAAAUUGCAUUUUAAUAUGUGAAUGUUGAUGAUGUAGGAACUUCACAUUUCCAGUGUUUCCGCCUUCACAGAGGAGUCCAUGGUUCAGUGUUAUAAACAGAACCACCUUCCCACCUCUUCCUUCUAUUCCUUGGAAUCCUUUUAAAUUUGGUCUAUCUCCUCUACCUCAAUUCCAACCACCUAAUUUUACAUUUCCUGAUCUUCCUCCCUUGCCCCAACUUCCUCCUUUAAAUUUCACAUUACCUCCUUUACCCCAACUCCAUCCUCUUAAUUACACAUUUCCACCUUUGCCCGAAGUGGUCCCUCCUAAUAUCACAGUACCACCUUUAUCUCCUCUUCCUUCCAUUCCACCUCUCAUAAAUGACCCCGUUUUUAACAUCUCAAAUAUUACUUCAUUCCCACCGUUACCAAGUGUUCCACAAUCUCCGCCACUUCCCCUACCAAAUAUCACCUUACCAACAUUUCCACCCCUUCCACCCCUCAAUUUCCCCUCUUCCAAUGUGUCUAGAUUUCCUCCCAUUUUUAACACUACUUUUCCAAAGUUUCCACCCUUGUCUCCAAUUCCAGGACUCCCAAGUGUGGGUGUUGGAGUGAAUGGUAGUGUGGGUGUUAACACCACCAUUCCAAGUGUUGGAAUUAAUGGAACUGUUUGUGCAAACGCAACCACUCCGCCAAUUGGGUCACCUCUUUCGGGUACCAUUAUCAAUUCUACAAUCCCUUCACUACCACCUAAUUUUACAUUUAGUAAUCCACCACUCCCUCACCUUAUGGCUCCUAAUUUCACCUUUGUGUUUCCACCUUUGCCUCACUUCACACCACCCAACUUUACUUUCCCACCUCUAAAUCCUAAUUUUACACAUUCCAACUUUACUCUUCCACCACUUCCCGAGUAUACUCCACCUAAUAUAACAUUGCCAUCAAUCCCACCUUUGCCUCAAUACACACAUCCUAAUUACACCUUGCCCACCGUGCCACCAAGUUAUGAGAUUUUGCCCCCAAAUUUCACAUUUCCUCCCUUGCCUCAAAUUGUUCUACCAAUUAAUCUCACUCUUCCUCCAAUUCCUCCCUUCAUACCACCAAAUGUGACUCUCCCACCUCUUCCUACUAUUACUAAACCUAAUUUCACCUUUUAUGAUAUUCCACCUUUGCCACAAUAUGAGCCUUCUAAUUUAACUUCACCUCCUCUUCCAGAACUCACACCUCCAAAUUUAACGUGGCCAUGGCCAUGGUCCAUUGGAAUUAAUCUCACAAAUAUUACUAUUGGGGCCCCUUUUCCAUCCAUCCUACCUUUGAAUGAAAGUAUUCCUAACUUGCCUCCAUUGCCAUCUAUUUUCCUUCCAAACUUUACAGUUCCGGGUCAAUCUAUGUAAGUUUUCAAACUAUGAACCCUUGUUUACUUUUCUUGAGCUUUAGAAAUAUCAAUAGUUUAGUUUUAUAAAACUUUUUUAUAAAAUUGUUUUAUAAAUUAUUUCUUUUAUCCAUGAUGAAGAAAAUAAAUUACCAAUGAUUUUUCGUUUUAAAUUCUUCAUAAUUAUGAUUAGUUUGAACAAUAAUAAUAAUAAGUAGGCAUACUAAUUUUUGUGUUCAAUUCAUGUUGUGAAUAGAUUCAACUUUACAAAUCCAUAUCCUGGAUACAAACCUCCAAUGUAUGUAGAAAAAUCAUUAUAGCAGUUGUUAAUAUUGCUUCCCUUUGAUAUUUUCCAUUGCAAACUGUAUAUUAGAAUUUGAAGAAUAGCAUGCAACUAUUUAUUUAUUUAUUUAUAUAUAUUCAACCAGACUUGUAUUCUUCAUAAAUUACAUGAUAUGUUUUUUGAAGCUAAACUUGUUUGUGUAUACUCACAUAACCUUUUAUAUUUAUAGGUAUGUUUGGCUUUUAUUUUAUGCAGGCCUGGAACACCUCCUUGUGAUGAUAUAAAAGAUGAAAAAUCACAAGUGCUUGUCAAACAUAACAACAAAACACGCCACUUAUUGGAGCUUGAUAAUUCGCAUUUGUAAGACACCUGAAUUCAUUUCCCAUACCAUUUUUUUUUUUUUUCAUUUCAUUAUUCUUUUUGCUAUAUUUUAUUUUUUCAUUUAAUUUUAAUAUUUAUAACGUCAAUAACAGUUAAACUAAUUUAUAUUGUGGUGGCAAUUGUAGAACUCAAGGUCAUCAGCCUCAAAUGAGUGGUCUUCACAAUCUAAAAUUCCUGUAAAAAUUUCGAUUUUCCAAUAUUUUUUGUAAAUUAUUAUUUCAUCACAUUAUUUUAUAAUGUGUGUUUACAUAUUUUUACAUAAAUGCCUAAAAAAAAAUUAUAUACAACAUCUUACAAUACAUUCAAAUCUUUCAUUUUGGCUAACUCAUUCUUAGAAAAGGUAUCAUUCUUUUUAAUUAAUUUUUUGUUCUAUUGUAUUCACUAGUAUUGUGUAUGCAUGCAGAGAUUUGUCAAACAACGCUUUUACUGGAAAAAUUUCUGAGAAUUUGAAUGCUUUACUUCCCAAUUUGAAGCAUGUGUAAGUCUUCACAAUGAAGGACUGGUCUCAAAUUAAAUCAUGCGAUGUUAUUUUUUUUCUUAUUCAUUACUUGUAUGCUUAAUAUUUGAACACUAUAGUAUAUUUCUAAAUUCAUAUUUAUAUAUGUGUUUAUAUAUAUUUAUUAUUUUUCAAAAUGAUGCUAUAGAGAUUUAAGCAACAACAAACUUGAAGGCCACGUACCACAAGCCCUUCUUAAGUCCAAACUCAAAUCCAUGUAAGACAAAUAAUUAUAUAUUUAUAUUGAAAUUUUGAUCAUGUAUUUUUUGCCACAUGCAUGAUUUUUUUAUUUUUUUAUUUUUUUUCUCAACAUGUAAUUUUCACAUUUUUACUUCAGAAAUAACAUCAAAUGAGUAUUGCAUAAAAUUAUUAAAAAUGCAACAUUGAUUCCAGUUUAAUGUACGUUUUAUUGAUUAUUACACAUUACAUUGUCUAUUUUUGUUUUAGAAAUUUGGCAAACAAUUAUUUUAGUGGACGGCUUCCACGCAUGAAAACUCAAAAAUAUGACCUCUUGUAAGUAUUUGAAAUUUAAGAUGAAAAAAAAAUCGAAUUCUUCUAGAAAAUUUGUGGAUUUCGUCUCACUGUCUUUUUCUUUUUUCUUCCCUUUUCUUUUGGAUACCUAAUGAAAAAAAUUAUAUAGAAAACAAUUUAAUUUAUUCAUCAAAUAUAUUGGUCGAUUUAUUCAAUGCUGCAACAUACAAAUCCAAUACAAUGCAACAUUAACAAUAAUAAUAAUAAUAAAAUACCAAUAAAAAGAUUUAAUAUGGAAUCUGGUAUGAUUUUAGGGAUGUAAGCAAUAAUUGCUUAACUGGUAUUCUGCCCAGAAAAUCUGCAAAAUCUUCCUCUGAGUAAGUUUGCAUCCCACUUUAUAAGUUUAAUUGUGAGCUUCUUACUUUGGGUUUUAAAAAAAACAAAACAAAAUAAAUCAAUUGCAUAAAACUUAUUCAAUCAUGAGUUUCAUAAACAAUUUUUUCUUUUUUUUGCCCAUUCCAUCCACAGGUUUUAUUAUGGCCAAAAGUGUCCGCCAAAUUCAAAGCACUGUAAGUGUGGUAAGUUUAACAAGCACAAUCCAUAGUUUUCAUAUAAUGUUCAUGAUAUUUGAUUUUUUUAAUGUGUAUUAUUAUGUUAUAUAUAUAUAUAUAUAUAUAUAUAUAGUAAGUUAACUUACAUUCUAGUACUCUAAUUUUUAAGGGUUUCUGUUUAUUUUAUUUUGUUUUUUUGUUAUGUGAUUUGUACAGCAGUUCAUAGAGCCAAGUGAUAUGGAUGAAGAAAAACACACACAAACAUAUUUUGUAGGUAGGAAAAUGAAAUAAGUUGAUGAAAAUCGUUGUCUUUAUGGCAACUGAUUUUUCUUUAGAAUAUAGAAGGGUAUGAAUUAGGAUUAAAUAAAUGGAAGGAAAAGUAGAGCUUAGUAUGUGGAGUUUUAAACUAAAAUGAGAGCAAAUCCUUUACAAUAGUUUAAUAAAUGAUAAAGGAAUAGAGAAUAAACAUGUUAAUAUUGCACUAAAAAAAAGGACCCUUUUCAUGUGUGUAUGGGAGAAAUAACUACUGUGCUAGUUUGAAAAUUAGUUGAUUUUAUACAACUAAUAAAUUUUCAUUACUUUAACAAUAAUAAUAAUAAUAAUAAUUUCAAUAUUUUGUUACUAAUUUCAUUAUUUCUAGAAGAAAUCUACGAAAAAUUUAUUAUAAAUCCAUUGCAAUUAAAUGAUAUUUAAACAAGUUGUGAUACUAAGUUUCAAUGUAAUUAAAAAAAAAAUCAAGUAAAUGAUUAUGAGAAAUCUUAUGAAUCCAUUCAAUGGUUGAAACAAAAAGAAAGAUUACCCAUUUAUUUAAACGUCUUUUACUAAGUAGAGAAAUUAACUCACAACAAUUCUAAUACACUUGUUGUGACAUUAUAACACACUGAAAAUCCUCAAUCAGACUAGUUUUGUUAAAUAAUUCUAUUACACGUCAAUAUGAAAUUUUCCAUAAAAAAGAGUAAAAGUAAAAAUAAUAAAUGAUUAAAAAUCAGAAUUUCAUACUUCAUUAAAAUAAUUAUAAAAAGAUAAGAAAAAAAAAUCACGAAAUAAAACACCCCUGAGUAAUAUUUUUUUAUUGAAGCACAUACAUUUAUAAUUAAGAUAGUUACAUCUUUGCAAUGUAAAGAAUAAAAUCAAAAUAAAUUCUGUAAGUCAAUCAAGCUAACAUUGGAAUUUGUUUUAAUUUUUUUAAGUUAAGUGAAAAAGAAAGAAAGAAAAAAAGAAGUAAUGAAUAAUAUAAUGAUCUAGUAAAAUAUUUGUGUUUCUUUUAGACCCUCUAAGAAUGUUUAUUUUCUAAUGAAGAAAGGCCAUUAAUUGUUGUCAAAGAGUAUAUAAGUAAACAUGUCCAUCUUUUUGUUGUCAACAACAAACUUAGAAGGGUUUUGAUUGAUUUUGAUGGAGCAUUCUUUUUUUCUUUUUUUGAUAUAUAAUCUUUUUGACAAAUUAAUUAUUACUGUUCAAUGAUAACUGGUGGUAGUUUAUACCAUCGAUGUUUGAAAGGGCUACUUUUUUGGGAAACCAAUAAUGAUGCAAAUUGAUAAUGUAUUAUUAUUACUACAAAUUUCUUUAAUACACAUGAAGGGCAAAUAUGAUUAAAGAAUUUUAAAAUUAGAAGAGCUUUAGCUAUAUGGCACCAAGUUGAAUCUCAUUUAAAAAAUUGAUAAUCAUUUUUUUAUCAACUUGUAUCUUUGACUUUACACCUUUUUAACUAAUAUUGAGCUCUAACCCUAAAUGUUGUCUUUUGAUCAAAAGAAUAAAAUAAAUAAACAUAUGCAUGUCUGUGUAUGAAGAAUUUGGCAUUGAGUUGAUAGUAAACAUAAAGAAUUAGGUUUAAUUUUGUAAAAUUUUAGGAUUUAUAAAGAGGUAUUUUUAUAGAGCUAAAAAACCAUAAGCUUAUUUGAUAGCCUUUUUAUUAUAAAAAUGGCAUAAAAUCCAUUGAAGCCAAAAGAAACUAAAUUUGAAAUCCUUGUACUUUUAAAAAUGAAAUUUUGUCAUUUUGGAUUUUAACAAUAUACUUUGGUGUGGACUCAAUUUUUUAUUUACAACCUAAAUACUUCAUAAACUUUAAUUUUAUUGGGAUUUAGUUUUUUAGUUUGAUUAUGAAAAUGCAAUGAAAAAAUUUGAAUAAAAAUUAUAAAUAUUAUCUCAAAAUUUUAGUAUUUAUGUACUAAAAUAUUCAUAUAUAUAUUUAUGUAUGUAUGUUCAAUAAAAUGACUAAAGAUUAUGUCCAAAUCACUAAAAACAUGUACUACUCUUUUAUAUGUGGCAUCCAAAGCAAUUGUUAUAUUGUUAUAACUCACUAUGAUUGCACCCUAUUGAGGCUUGUUGCUUCUAAAUUUAAGAGACGCAACUACAAUAACAAGGGUAGUUACAUUAUAUUACAUUGUAAUCAAAGUUGAAAACUCUUCCAAAAGAAUAUUGAUACCUUAAACUUCAUUACUUCAUCUCAUGUAUAUCAUAAUCCAGUUGGAUUUUGUUGUUUUUGGAAGAAUUGUUUAGACAAUAUACACCAUAAUCAUGUACUUUGUUUGCCAUAUUUGGGAUUCAAAUCUAGUAAUUUAUUUUUUAAAAUUAUUUUUUUAACAAUACUUACAAUCUUUCAGAUAUUCUACUUUGUAAAACUAAAUACAAGCUAGAAAUACCAAUUCACGUUUACUCUUGUCAAAGACAUGAAUCUCAAAAGAAGAAAAUCUUCAAUACACUCUUGUAUCAAUGAAAGAAAUUAGAAAGUCACUUAAAGAUGAUAUAAUACUGAAUUGGAAUGGCUAUUGCCAAAAACAAGAAAACUAAAAAGUCUUGAAAUAAGACUAAAGAUUAGAAAGGUAUUGAUAAGAGUGAAGAAGGCUUCACUCUUGCCUCCCUAUAUACUCUCUAACUAAGAGCUAUAUGGCAAUAUUCUAUAGAACCUCUAACAUGUAUUGACUUUGCUAGCCACAUGUCUUAACUUGCAAAGUAAGUUAUCUAUGUAUGCACCACAUAGUUAGCUUGUUCCAUAAGUUACCAACAUGUCGUUAACUUGUUGGCCAAGUUUCUAUCUUAUAAAUAUAUCUAAAGUCAAAACUGUGUCUAUGAAACUUCUAAAAAGUUUUUUUAGGAGAUUUUAUAAAAUUAAUUUAUAUUUAUCUACUUCUACCUAAUCAUAUAAGUAACUAUUGAGAUAUAUAUAUAUAUAUAUAUAUAUAUAUAUAUACAUCCAUGAUAUUAUCUCUUUUUUUAGUAACACGUUCAACAAGGAGCAGUCUUCAUAUAUUGAGAAAGUCCAAGAUGCGAUGAAUUGUAUUUGCCACAUACUCCGAUCUUUCAUCUCUUCAAAGAUGGUUGAUAGGCCUUCUCAGCCAUCAAUAGUGUUCUAUAUCAGGACAAGAAGACCACCCUAUUAUUUGGUCAUUGUUGAGGCCUUAGUAACUUUCUUUAAAUAAAACAUUUGAAACACCGUCAGGAGUUGUUCUUACCUCUAAUAAAAUCACCAAACAUCGGAAGACUCUUCUAAGGUCGUGAUAUCAAAUAUGUUAUAUCUCACCAUCUAUUCGAGGAAGGACAUGUUAUUCUUGAAGAUCUUCAUCUUCAUUUUAUCAUCUUGAAGGUUGUGACAAUUACAAUGUCUCAUUUGAUAAGUCUACAAAUGAAAGCUCUUGAGUUGAAUCUAUUGGUUGUUGCUUCUCCAUCUCCUUAACUAUAUACAAGCUAGAAAGAAGGAUAGAAAAUAGAGUGUUAUCUUUCUUUGGUCUUAUUUCUUUUAUAGGAAAGAUUUGCUAUUCUUCAUCUUAGUUUUGAUGGAUGUUUUUGAUGAAAGGCUUCAAUUCUCUUUACCACAUUUAUAAGAUUCUUUGAUGGCUCCCAUGUUUGUUCACUAAUAUCAUAUCUGUACCAGUGAAGAAGAUAUUCCAACUUAUUUUAACGCUGCCUUGAGUCUAAGACUUCUUCUACUUUUAAUUCUUAAUUAUUAUCUACUUCUAUAGAAAGAAGUGGCAUUUGACUUCUUCUAAAGAUAUUCAUUGUCUUAUAUGGCUCAAGAAGGGAUAUGUGAAAUAGAAGGUGGAUCUUCAUAGACUCCAAUAGAUAUAAUCAAUAAGCAAUAAGAUUGAUUUAUUCACAAAUAAAAAAAGGCCCCAGCCUACAAUAAUGUAACUUAUCAGAAGGACAAGUAAUCUUGGUAUUGCAACAAAGUAACCAUAUCUUAUUACCUAUGUUGAAUUGUGGUUGUUCCUUGCAAUAAGCAUCCAUAUUGGUCUUUUGUUGUUCUUGAGCUUCUUUUAAUUGUAUCUUCAUUGUUGCAUGUAGCUCUGACAAAUAAUUUGCUAAAUCUUCUUCCAUAGGAUUAUCAACUUUUGAAAAGUCAAAAAUAUCAAGAUUUUGAUAAUAACCAUAAUUAACAAAGAAAGGUGUUUUUUCAAUAGAAGAAUGUACCAAAUUAUUGUAUGCAAAAUCUGCCAAUGGUAAAAGAGUUGUCCAAUCAUCUUGAUGGUACACCUCAAAUAUUACUCUAGAACUUGAUUCACCUGUUCAGUUUGCCCAUCAAUUUGAGAAUGAAAAGCUAAAGAAAGCUUUAUAUCCACCUUUAAAAUCUUCAAUAGGAUUUUCUAGAAUCUUGAUACAAAUUGAGUCUUCCUAUCCAAUAUAAUAUCCUUUGGCAAUCUAUAAUAGCAAUGGAUAUUGUCAAUGAAAAGCUUAGUUGUUUCUUUACCUGAAAUAGAUUUUGUACAUGGUACCAUUUUGAUGAAGUAAUCUACAAUUACAAAUAUAGAAUCAUAUAAACUUAAGACUAUAAGAUCUGUAAUAAAAUCUAUAGAAACGGAAGAUCAUAGUUGCUUUGGAAUUGGUAAUAGUUGAAGAAGUCCAUAUGGUCAAAGGCAAAGAGUUUUGGAUCUUGAACAAGUAUCGCAUGAUUGUACAAAGUCUUUGACUGCCUUCCACAUUUGAGGCCACCAAAAAUCUCUUGAUAUUAGUUCCAAAGUCUUAUUGUAUCCAAAAUGACCGGCUAUUGGAAAAUCAUGACGAGCUUAAAGGACACGUAAUCGUACCUUACUUUUUGGAAUAUAUAGGCAAUUUUUGAAAUAUAGUAUGUUGUUCUUGAACUCAAACUUUGAAGUGUUAUAGAACUUAGAAGAAGUAUUUUUAAUAUCAUGAAUAAGAAGAUCAGACGACAUACUUAAUUGAAUUUGCUUGACAAAAGUUGAAUCAAUAGUCAAUGUUGAUUUUAUUGCUUGAAGAUGAAAAUACCUGGGCUUUAAGAGAAUUGUUCUUUGUUGAUCAAAAGAUACAUCUUCUUCUUUUGGUACAAAAUAAGAAUUUCUAGAAAGGGCGUCUGAUAGACCUUAUUGUUUUCUUAGUCGAUAAGUGAUCUUGAAAUUAAAUCUGGAUAAAGAUGUGCUCUAAUAAGCUUGACAAUGAUUCAAAAUACAUAUUGAUAUGAAGUACUUGAGGUUCUUAUGAUCUAUAUAUGCGAUGACUUGACUUAAAGCGCCUUAUAGAUAAUGAUGCCAUUCUUGAGAGCUCUUUGUCAUGGAUCUCAUAAUUAAUCUUGGCUGCUAAAAAUUUCCUAAAAUAAAAAGCUAUUAGAUAGAGUUUGUCAUAUGUUUCCAUUUAUGACAAUAUGAUAUUUAUAGCAAAUUCUAACACAUGUAUUUCUAUAAAAAAAAUAUAUUCAAAAAAUCAAUACAAUACAAGAUUGGUGCAAAAAUAAACUUCAUUUUUAAAGCAUCAAAUGAUACUUAUGUUUCUUUAUUCCACUCAAAUUUGUCUUUAUAAGUCAAACAUGUAAGUGGAGUUGUAACUCGAAAAAAGUUCUUAAUGAAGAUUUAGUAGUAAUUAGCAAAAUUCAAAAAGUAUUGUACAUCUCAUACUGUCCUUGGAAUCUUCUAAUCUAUGAUAGUUUGGACUUUCUUAGGAUCCAUCAUAAGGCCUUUGUUGGAAAUAAUGUAUUCUAAAAAGUCAACUUGAAUAAUAUAGAAUAUACAAUUUUUCAACUUGAAAUAUAAUCUUGCAUCUUUAAUUUUGUAUAAUAUGUGGUGAAUAUAAAGUUCAUACUCUUCUAUUUUUUGAGUAGAUUAGAAUGUCGUCUAAAUAAUAAAUAACAAAAUCAUCCAAAAAUUCAUAAAAAAUAUCAUUUAUAAGAUGUUGAAAAGCGAUCAAUGCAUUCGUGAGUCUAAAAGACAUGACAUCAUAUUAAAAAUGUCCAUACCUAGUUCAAAAAGUAGUCUUCCAUUCAUCUCCUUCUUUAAUAUGAACUAAGUUGUAUGCUCCUCAUAGAUCUAUUUUCAUAUAGAUCUUUGCUUGAUUGAGUUGAUCAAGAAGUCUUGAAAUCAAAGGCAAAGGAUACCUAUUUUUUAUGGUGAUCUUAUUGAGUCCUCAAUAAUUCACACAUAUCCAUAGAGAUUCUUCUUUCUUCCUCACAAAUAAGAUAGGAGCUCCCAUUGAAGAUCUAGAAUGGCAUAUGAAGUUCUUUGCCAAAUUCUCAUCAAUAUACUCCCUUACUGCACCCAACUCAUUCUGUAAUAAGCUAUAGAUUGGUCUAAAUCGUGAUUGAGCAAUUCCUUGCAAAUUAAUUGAAUAAUCAUAAGAUCAAUGCUUUGGAAGAAUAUCUAUAUUUUUCUUUUCAAAAAUAGCUUGGAAUUCUUGAUAUUGAUUAAGAAUAUCACUUGAUAUUUUUCCACCAUUAGAAAUAGACAUAGUAUAUAUAACAAAAGAUGAUCCUUCUUUUGCAAUAUGCAUGAAAGCUCUCGCUCCUACCAAUAAAAGUUUAGAUAUACUAGACUUAUAUACUUCUACUUCACUAGCUCAAUCUUAGAUUAUACUACCAAAAAAGUUAAGGUUAUAAGAAAUCCAAUCUAUUUGAGACUUAUAAUUUUUUUUUAUCUACGAUAAUCCUAAAAUAACCAAAUUUGAGGAAGAUCUUAUUACAUUAAAUACUACUAUGCUAUUAUGAUCUUUAAUUGCUACAUCUAAAGAAAUAGUCUUAUGAAUAAUAUUUCUAGAAGAAAACAAAUGACUAUCUAUGACUUUUAUAUGUACAAGUUUUAUUUUCUUGACUAAAGGUGUUUUUUGAUUUUUGACAAAAUCUUUGUUUAUAAAAUAGGCUGAGGCUCCUAAAUCUAAUAAGGCAAAGACAUUGUGAUUUUUAGGUCCUAAACACAUAUCUAUUGUAAAAUAAGGUGAGGGAUUUGAAGAGAGAAUAGGACCUUUACUAAGUGUUGUAUCUGAUUUUAGCCACACGGCCCCUAUUGUAGUUAGAGAAACUCGGUUUUCAACAAAUUAUCUUCUUUGGUAAUUAUGCUCCUCAUUUUGUAAUUGUGUUGCUUCUUUAGAUAAUGUUGAGCAAUGUACUUAGCUUCUCCACAAUAUAAACACAAAUCCUCUUGGUGACAUUGAGUCUUUUUUUGCUCUAUAAGAGGUUUAAAACGUAUCGUAUCAAUAUUCAUUAGUUCCAACCUUGAUGAAUAUGUUUCAAAAAACUUGGGAGUUGCCGCCAUUACUUGACUCGUUCCUCUUUAGUCAAGACUUUGUUCUUGAUGUCUUUCAAAUAACCGCUUGUCACAUGCAAUGGCUUGAGUAAUAAAUUAUUUUAAAUAUUUUACUUUUGGUAUUAUUAAAAAUAAAUCUUUGGCACUAUCCUUCAACCCAUGUCGAAAUUGAUUGAUAAGUGCUUUAUCAUUCUAGUCCACAUCACAAAUAAGAUUUUGGAAUUCAGCAGCAUGUGUAGUAGCUAAUUGUAAUCCGUAUUGUAAAAAUAAGAGUUUUGUCUCUACUACUUGUUCUCGAUCUUGAUCACUUUCUCCAAAUGUGACCAUAAACACUUCUUAGAAUGAAUUUAAAUCAUAAAGAAGUUAUGAAUCCUUUUCCAUCAAAGGUGUAAAUCAAAAAAGGACACUUCUAGAUAGAACUGCACCUAUGAAGCCGACUUGAGUAAAUCCAUCUACAUAUUGGAAAAGGUGUAAUCUUAAAUAGAGCUUCUACUAUUGUAAAAACCCUCAAAAUUUUGAUCUUGUUCCAUCAAACUUCUCGGGCAUACUAAUUCUUGCCUCUCUUCAGCUUGUAGAAGCAAUACUCUUUGAAUUUGGUUGUGAGGCUGACUAACUUGUUUUCCUCAAUUACAAAACUUCUUGAUGUAGACUCUGGACUUCUUCCAUAGGUAUAGAAUUAGUGCUCCCAUGGUUGACGUUGGUGAUGUGUGAAAUUUCUACCCUUAGAAUAUUGACAAGCUCGUGAAGAUCCGCAAUAGUUGUAAAUCUAUUUUCACUUCCAUUAGGGGUAGCAUCCAUAAUCUUUCUUUCUAUAGACAACUCAAACAAAUCCAAAAAGUUAAAUUAGAAGGUAAUCUGCAAUCUUUAAUAAAAAUUUCCACAAAGAGGGAUAAUCCACUCUCUUUAAAGAAAAGAUCAAUGUUAGAAAAUAAGAUUUUUUGUUUAAAGGUGGAUAAUCUACAACCUUCAAAAUAUAGCUAUAGAAGUAAGUUAAUCCAUUCUCUUCUAAAACAAGAUAGAAACAAUAUGUUAGCACUUUUAUUAAACUGUCAAGGACAUAAAUCUCAAAGAAAAAAAAAUCCUCAAUACACUCUUGUAUCACUGAAAAGAGCUAGAAAGUCACUCAAAGAUGAUAUAAUAUUGAAUUAGAAUGGCUAUUGCCAAAAACAAGAAGACUAAAAAGUCUUGAAAUAAGACUAAAGACUAGAAUAGCAUUGACAAGAGUGAAGAAGGCUUCACUCUUGCUUCCUUAUAUACUCUCUAACUAAAAGUUAUAUGGCAAUAUUCUAUAGAACCUCCAACAUGUGUUGAAUUUGCUAACCACAUGUCUUAACUUGCAAAGCAAGUUAUCUAUGUAUGUGCUACAUAGUUAGUUUGUUCCACAAGCUACUACACAAAGUUAACUUAUUCCACAAGCUAUCAACACGUGGUUAACUUAUUGGCCAAGUUUCUAUCCUACAAAUACAUCUAAAGUCAAAACCGCAUCUAUAAAGCUUCUAGAAAGCUUCUCUAGAAGACUUUAUAAAAUUAAUUUAUAUUUAUCUACUUCUACCUAAUCAUAUAAAUAAUUAUUGGGAUAAAUAUAUAUGUCCUUGAUAACUCCAAUAGACUUCUUUCUCUUUUCGUCAACUGUGCCAUAUUAUUGACAUCAUCUCCAAAGAAAAUGAAUGAAUAAAUGACAUCACAAUAGACAAUUGGUUUACCUAAACAUUCACCCACAAGAAUGAAGAAUGUAUUUUUAAGGUGGAGAAUAAUCAUACAAACAGACUUUAAUAUUUUGACUAAAUUGCAGACAAAUAGAUAGAUAGAUAGAUAGAUAGAUAGAUAGAUAUUAAAUAGAUCCAUGUUUUUAUUAAAUAGAUCUGUUUUUAAUAAAGAAUAUAAUAAUCAUGAUAAAUGUGGUUGAUUUCCAUUGGAUGUAGAUCCAAUAGUAGAAAAAUGAAUCUAAAUGUCAUUUUUUUUUUUCAUGAUAGUUAGGAUGUGUAGAUCAAUUUAGUAAAAUUUAAAUCUAUUUAAUAUAUAUAUAUAUAUAUAUAUAUAUAUCAAUAUACACACAUAAUUAUAUCUUUUGAAUUAUAUAAUAUAUAUAUGAGAAUAUUAAAUAGACUUAGAUUUUUACUAAAUUUAUCUAUUUAUAAUGAAGAAUAUAGUAAUCAUGAUGAAUGUGGUUGGUUUUAAUUGGUUUUGGAUCCAAUAAUGGAGAAAUGAAUCUAGAUGUUAUUCUUUUUGUCAUGAUGGGUGGAUCAAUUUAAUAAAAGCCUAGGUCUAUUUAACAUUUCAUUAUAUAUUAUAGAUAGAGUAUUACUUUAUUGGCCCAAAAAUUUACUAAAUUGAUCCACCCAUCCUAACCAUCAUCAAAAAAUUAUCCAAUACCAAAUCUUCAUUGAUAAAAAACCAAUGAAAAAAUAGUUGGAUCCUCAACCAACAAUGAUGACUAGGUCAAUUUAAUAAUUCCCUAUAUAUAUGAAUAUAUAAUAAAAUUUGAGUAAGGAGAAUGAGGCCCCAACCACCCUUUGUAAAGUUGCACAUAAGUGUGUAAGGGUGAUGUUGCACCAAAUGGUUGAAGCCUUCUACUACUACAAUAGAAGUUGAUUGUAAAGUUUGAUGGUCAGAUUCUUACAUUGGAAAUUGGUGGUGGAUUCCAAACUCAUCCUCCUCUGCUUUCCUCGUCACCAGAUUAUGCCACUACUCAGUUUAGAGCUCGAUCAGGGGGCGGUAAUAUACUUAUAUAUACAUAUAUAUAAAUAGAAAUUUGUUGCUGACUGACUGGAGUCAGCUAUGCCAUGUACAUGACCAAGCUUGCUUUUUGAAGGUGCGGUUGUGGUGCGGAGGUUCACAGUUUUUGUGAUCUCAUUUAUUCAUGCCCUUUGUCCCCCUUCAUUCAUUGUGCUGGCCCUUCAGAGAUUUGUGAGUUUGUAAGUGUGUUUUUGUUGCAGUCGUGGUGCGUCUCUGAAACGGAGAUGGUUGGUGUUUUUCGGUGUAGUAAGGGGUUUGUUUCUGGGCGGUUCGGUUCGGUUCGGAUUUGUCGAUAGCUUUUUCAGGGGGGUAUCGCUUUGUGGGUUUGUUUGUUUGUUUGUGCUGUGUCUGUGAAUGUGCAGCGUGUGUGUGUACUGUUUGUUUGUUGGCAGCCUGUUCGCGAGCUUGCCUCUGUUGUAAGCCGUAACUAGUAUCUAUGACAUGACAGUCACUCAGCGCUGUGAGUGUUUUUGGUUUUUUUUGGUUCAGUGAACUAAUUUGCAGUCAGUGUUGAGUUUGUGAUCGUUUUGCACAUAUAAUGUGGUGAAGCUGAGGAUAUGCUUCGGCAUUCGAAUAUGAAGUCACGGCUUGGGAAGGUGCGAGUGCCGAGCUGAGGCGAGGAUUUCGGAGUCGGAGAGCAUGUGAAUCUGUCUCGCUUUUUUUGCACACCUUGAAUAGAAAGGAAACAUUUGCAACUGGGCCUGUUUGUUUGAUUGUUUUUUCUUGUCGGUAAGGGGUCGGUAACAUACUUUAUAGAAGAGCACUUCGGUUGUCUUGCAUGAAGGGAUUAUGAGAAUUUUAGUUUUCUUAAAGAAAUGGGUGGUUGGUUUUGCUUUCUGUGCUCGUUUUUUUUAUGGUUUUGAACUCUGACAUGAGACUUAAGUAAGAUGAUAUUUUUCUCAAUCGUGGAAGAUAGAGGUGGGUUGAUGCUGCCAAAUUUUUAUUAAUUGAAUGUGCAACAGAGAAGUUCACCAUUAGAAUGUAAAACAACCUGUAAUUCACCCUUCCAUUAUAGAUUGUUUUACAAUUGGUGUUGAAAAAUUUGCUUCUUCAAACUCUUACAACAACAAAACAAAAUACCUUGAUGCUUUUUGGAUGAUUCAAUUGUGAUAAAAACUAGUUUAUCACAAUUGAAUUAUCUAAAUAUCUUCAAUGUGUUUUUAUUACAACUAUAGUUUAAAAACAAUCAGUAUUGAAAAUUUCACUUGAUAUGAUAGAAGAUAACAGAAGUUGUAUGAGAUUGGUAUUUGUGAUAAAAUGACUUGUAAACAGAUGUUCUACUAAAUUUAAAGCAUUAAGAACAUUUUUUUUGCUUUAAAGUAGAUACCUUUUGCCUCAUUAUAGAGAAAAGAAAAAUCAAAUUAUAAAUUUUAAUGCAAUUAAUUGAGUACAAUAUUGAAAAACUUAAUUUAAUGUAGACAAUCAAAUCAUGGUUAAUUAGUUUUCUUUUUUAGUUUACUUUUUUACUAAGUCAAUAUAAGAAUUUUGUAAACUAAAAUGAAUAAUUUUUUGAGGUUUUCAGUAAUUUUAAGUACAUAUAAAAAAUCAAAAUAAAACUCAAUUUUAAUGAACAUAGUAGAACAAAUUUAAGUUCUUUUAGUUUAAAAUCUACAAAAUUAUAUUUAUCAAAGUAAUUAUGAAAAAACCUCUUAUAGUAACAAAAUAUUUAUAUUAAAAUGGAACUGUAAAAUAUUUUAAAUUUUAUUAAUGUUCUAAAAUUGUAGUAAAAUAUUAAAAAAACAAGUACAUUCAAAUAAAUAAUUUAAAUUUGGAUUUUUUAAAAUUGGCAUGUUUUUUUAUUCUUGAAUUGAAAAUAUACAAGGUAAUAGGACUAAUCAUAAAUAAAAUAUUUUAAAAAUAUAUAUAUGUAAAGAACAUAAAAUACACCUUAGUAUAUGUAGUUAAUAUUUAGGAAUAAAAUAAUUUUAGAAUAAAAAAGUAAAAAUUUGUUUACAAAAUUGGUCUUUAUAAUUUACUUGAAUUAGUGAACUUAUACUUGAAUUCAAAAAUUACUUAAAUUCUAAUCCUAAAACCUAUAACCUCAUGUAGUAUACUUAAAUUACUAAAUUGCCCUAUUUAAGCAAAUUAAAUCCAAAUACCAAAACUCAUGCUUACAAGUUAACAUUUAUAAAUUAUGGAAUGCAUAAUUUUUUGAAUUAAAUUCUUGUGAGUCUCAUUCUUGUGGGUUAGUUAAAUUUCUUUUUAUAAGUACUUUUAAGUUCUUACAACUAUCAAACUUCUUUAUAGUAUGCUACCAAAAGUUGAGUAUUUUUCUUGACAAUACUUUUAAAUGAUCUAUUUUCACAUUAAUCUAGCACAACUGCUAUUUCCAAGUGGGACAACAAAUAAAUUCGCAUUAUCUGUUUCACACUUAAUACUAACAAGGAGAAUUAGCUAAAUGAAUUAUCUGUUGCUACACAAGCAUGUUUGUUUCUUGUAUCAGCUCUACGACAAACAUCAACCACAAUUAGCAAUUACUGGCAUGUACACAGUUCACAAUUCAACCAAAUCUUUAUUUGAUUUAGCAGUAUUUAUUUAGUAAUGAUGUAUACUAAUGAUAGAGUGCCGUAACUUCCAUAGCAAUGUCCUUUGUUACGGACAUACAUGGGUAUUGACAAAAGUUGUAUAAAAAACAGGAAUGAAAGUAUAAACCUGAAUUGUAAGAAAACACAAAAAAACAGAAAGAAGGUAGGCGAGAUGGUUUUGGCCCAAAUUCCCUUGGGCUCGGGGCAGCAAGCAACCUCAGCCCGACCGGUUAUUACAGAUGCGUCGAAAGCAUUUUAGUGUUAGGAGCCAACAUAACCUGCAGCGUGUGAAGUUUCGACAAAUGAGACACUUUCAAUACAAAUAAUGCAUCCUUUUAUGAUAAUCAUAAUACUGGUCACGUUAUGGGCACAUUCGUUUUAACUCAACUCUAGAGUAACUAACGUAAUAAUUGUUGCAAGGUCGAGACACAGUUUGGCAGAUUUCCACAUAGCCCGUUGUCAGCUCUAGAAAUGACUAACUGCAGUUUGAUUCUUCUGCUGAAUACAUGAUGGAGUGUCGAAGUUAACAGCUACUCCACCCAAGUGUCAGGGUCCCACCCUCUCAUUGCCUAAACCUCAAUUGCUACCAGGUGAGCAUUACCCAGUGUGACAGCGCGUAGGUCCAUCUUUUCUUGGCUGCUGUGCCCACCUGCAGAGAGGUUAUUACCACUGCACUACUCUCGAAUGCAACCCUGAGUUAAAUUGGUCAGAGUGAGUAGUGAGGCUGAGGGGCUGAGAGCAACCCCCACGGCAAUCCAUCCCACUGAUUAAUCGUUUGGGGUCUUUUUCUCGUGCGAAGCUCACGGGUCGAUCGUCAAGCAAUAAGGAAAGUGGCGAGGAAGCUCCAGCGUUUCUUGUUGAUGUGAGACCUUACGGAGAAAAGACUGUCCAAGGACGUAUCCAAGAGCUGUUGCAACAGGCACCGCAACUGCAUUGCCUACUUGCAUGUAUCUGGCAACCCCCCGGUCAUAACGCAUGUUAAGGGCAUCUUCAAAACAAAACAGCAUUGAACAUGAUUUGUGAACAAGAGAUGGAAGCCAGACAUACCGUUGCUUGAUUGGACCAAAUAACUUGUAGUAGUCAGAAAAUCCUUGUAGUCGGGCAUUCUCUCUGAUAGUCAGCACGCGAUCCUGCUCAGGAUGAAGAAUGAUCUGCAAUCAAUAUAUAAGAGAUCGUUAAAGAUAGUUCUUAGACAGACGAACGGAUUUAGUUUCAAGUUGUCGUUGCGAGGUUAGAAGUCUUCAAAUUUGGCCAGUCACAAAUCUGUGGGGUUGACAAAGACAUCCUAAAACUGGUCUAUUCACAGAAUCCAUGGUAGCACCUGAUUAUGAGGCUCUGCUCGUGUAACAACGGUUGGAACUGUCUCAUCCCACCACAAUCUUCCGAAGGGUCUGCAAAAUCAGCAAUAAGAAGUCAGAUUCCAACCUUCCCGUGAUCGGAGAUAGAAGUAAAUGACUGGGAGGAGGAAAAGGAGGAGGAGACGAACAACAACAAAAAAAUAUACUUCACCAAAAUACUUGAAAACUUUGAAAAUAUCCCCAGAUAAGUUAAAAAGGCAUACUUGAAAGAGCGUCCACGUAUGAAACUAAUAGCAUAGUCUGGCACCUGCAUGUCGAAUGCAGAGAUUAGUAGCUCACGCAGAAGAUAAUCCAAGCAGAUACGUCACGUUAAAAAGGUAGCAAUGAACUCAAAAUUCAUCGAUCCUGAAACCACACAAAUGUGCGGAUUACAUACCAAGGGCUUGCCCGAUUUCAGAAGUUCGCGCGGCUCCCUGACCACAUCCACAGUCACUCCAUCCGCUUUAAUGAUUAUGCCCUUCAAAUCUCUAAAAUUCGCUCCCUGCCAGACAACGUCGUUAAUCAUGCAAGUUUUCAUGCUUAAAGAAUAACAUUCCGUGUACUUCUGAUAUUGCUCCACCAGUGUUGUUCUGUUCUAAAAGUAGUUAGUUGAAAACAACUGCUUAAGAAGCAAGAGCUGGCAGGUGUAACAAAAGUAGGGGAUAAGAAUCAGAGAUUUAGCUUACUAACGAUAAAUGAACAUACCUUUUUUUUCGGGAUUUGUUUCACGCGUUCAUAGUCAUCUGCAUUCAAGCAAAGAGGUCGAUGAUCUGGAAGGAUAGCUUUUUUCUUUUGUUGUGGACCAAGACUGCCUAGACCACCAGUUCCUGCACUCAUCCGAACAUGAAAUCGAGUUUCUUCAAUGCAAUUCUUCUAGAAUAAUCAGUAAUUGAAGUUUUCAUCAUCUGCAUAAUCAGCAACUAUUGAACUAUUUGCAUACUAAGUGCUCAAAAUAUAGCAACGUCAGAUACCUUUCUUUGGUAAGCGCAGGAAGUGUUGAAAAUCACAUUGCGGCUCCUCGUCGUAUGAAAUGUCAUCUUUGCUUUGAUCAUUCCCAACCUACAGCAAAAAAAUACAAUUAUUUCACCCAAAAAACCAUUGCAUGUGAUUUCGAAUAACACGUUCAGCUCCACGUCUAUGCAAAAAGGUUUUGGACAAGGAAAUGCUUACAGCAGGAAGAUCAGAAAGUGCAUCCUUGAGCACAAGAGGUAGCUGUAACCAUUCAGGUUGCUUGUUCUCUUCAUAAGCAACUAAACAUCUCUGCGUCAAAAAAAAAAGAAAAAACAACAUUGAACGAUCACAACUUCAGCGGGAAAAGCUAAAGUCAAUUGUCAUCUAAACCGAAAGAAUCUGCACCGCAAGUAAAACUAGCGUCAAUGAGAUCCUUACCUCCCAUUUCUGUGGGAAACCACCACGUACGAUAACCUUAUGUGUGGGCAUUGGAUAGGGCGGAAGUAUCUGCAAUCAAAUGCAUUAUUCAUUUCAACAAUUAUGAGAACACUUUUCUGAUGUCUAACUUUACUGACAAAACACAAGCUACAUCCCAAGGUAUCAUUUAACAUCUCAAAUUUCAGAUCAUGAACUGAAAUAUCCAUAUUAAUGUAAACACUUUUUCAUAGAAAAUAGGUAUAUAUUUUGAAUAGGUAAUGUUCAAAAGCAUUUCAAAAGAGAGUAAUAGGGAAAGAUAGCAUGACAAGGCUGACCUCGUCACUAGCCGCUCCCCACAAAAAGCAUCGCGCUCUAAAUUGAGGCAUUCCGUAGCACCCAGCGACCAUGAUGCCAACUUUUGACUGCACAAAGUUCAGAAACCCAUGAACAACAAGAUUGAGCUCCAAUAAAAUUUGGAUGAAAAGAAACGGUAUUGGUCUGUAUGUGAGGUAAGUCAACAUUUCAAGCAUCUUAACACCAAGAACUGAAUCCGAAUCACUAUCUCAAGACCCAGAAGAACUUCCAUGUAACCCUCACAAGCAAAAAUAUCACAUCAUGAUGAAUUUUGAAUCAUGCUCUGUGGGGCUAAGCUAUACCUGGUAAUUCAUUCCCACAGCUCUUGCAAGAGCAUAGCGCCCCAGUAUGCCAUCACAAAACUUGAGAAUAUCAACAACGUUUUCCAUGAUGAAAAAUCUAGGACGCAAGAAAUCAACGAUGUCCAUAUACACAACCAUCUGCUUGUUCCUUGGAUCUGCCAAAGGAUCUACUCUGUUCCGAAACCGGUUGAAUCCACUGGCGCCUUGGCAAGGAGGGCCUCCACAGAUAACAUCACAAUCACCCUAGAAUACGGAAAAAGUUCAAUAAGCAACAACAUUAGCAAAUAUGAACUGCAAUUGAAGUGACUCCAAAUGUUACACCGGUCCAAACUAUUGAUGGCAUCAAUACAAUACACAGGACGAACUCUAAGAAUCCACACCCCACAUUCCCAAUCCUAAUCAGAACUUCCAGGAAUCUACUCAACACAAAAAACUCAUCAACAUCAAACGCAUAAAAAAAUAAGGUGUGGUAACAUACAGGAAGUGGAAGUAGCUUUUGUCUCCUCCCUUCUAAUACGAACUCCUUCACACGUUCUGGGCAGUGACUGUAUGCAUCCCAGCGAAGAGACAGUCAGCGGACAUUAUACAGCCACAGUUCGUGACAUGGUUCUAAUCCACUUAGCCUACUCUGCAGGCCUAUACCAUCAUCGUUUCAGUAUUAUCCAUGCCAUAAAACGAUUAACGUAAAGAAAUAUUACUCCAAACUUGCAGCUGGUUCCCAUGUAUCGUCCUCAGGAGCAUAACCCUUCCACCUGACCUGAAGAACCACCAAACAUAUAAGCAGCACGACUUUGUAAGCAUAACUUUCUGGAAGAAUAUUAUGCAGUAACUGCUGGUGAACCACAUCCAAAGAGUCGCAAGAUACUAGCAUUACCAUAACUGCAGCAAAAAAUCUACCCAAAAACCUCGACACGUAGCAGUGGAAAAGGACUAUCGUCUGUCUCAAAACUCGUGUUAAAAUAAAUGCUGAACAGGAGCUUACCUUGAACUCGAGACCUUUGGUUAGAGGAACCUCAGCGUCCUUCUCAAUUUUUUCUUUCUUGGGGGUCUUCGGGGUUUUAGGAGUCUUCGCAGUUGGGACCUCUUCAUUAUCCACCACGUCAUCCACUUGCUCCAUAACCUCUUUGUCUUUCUCGCUUACUUCUCCAACCCACCGUAUUCCGAGAAGUCGCUCCACUUCAUACUCCCCUGCUGCCGGGUCAUCAUCUCCAUCUUCAUCUUCUUCACUGUCCUCCUGCACAACACAUCCUACCGGAUACUUCUCGCACAAUUUCUUCCACUCUUUCAGCAACUGCAGGUAAUCUUCAGCAGCUUCGUUUCGGACCUGCAGACAGCAAUAUUUAAGAUAGGUACACCUUCGUCACAGUCAAAUGGAAAGGAGCUCAAGAGUUCUUUAGUUCUAAAAGUUGUGUCCAAAAUAUUUAAAGCCAAAUCAACAUUAGAAGCAACCACAAUUUGUUAACAAUAAAUGACUAAGAUCAAAUAUGCAGAGACCCAGGUACAACUCGUGAUGAAUCCCAGGUGCACAACAUACAAUGCCAAAGAAUAAUAACUUACAGUGGUUUCUGGGUGAUUAUACUUUAAUGACAUACAUGCAAACUCGUUCAGGUCCACGGCCCAUUUCUGCAGAAGAGAGCUAAUAGCUUAAAAAUUGCACACAUCUAGUAACGAUCAAGAAAAGAAGGAAUCCGGACGGAAAAACAAACUGAGGUACAGCACGUAUAUAGCAGGCAAACAAGGGGCAAUCUCCUAUCAAGACAUGCAUUAAAAUGGCUGCAUAAGGAAGAAGAUACUAUAGAGAGAGGCAACACAUGAAGGUGACGUACCGUAACAAGAUUAAUGCCUGCUAGGUUCAUCCCUAGACAUAUUCCAGUCGACAUGGCACCACACCCACAGUACAGAUCAAGAAGAUAGAAAUCUUUCUUGUCGUUAGAGUCGCUGCAUGAAUUAUCCGAUUCCGUGGACUUAGACCCGCUCUUCGAUGCAAUAGUGUUUUCCGUGAUGUGGAAUUUGUUCUCCGCUUGGGCUAGUCCAGGGGGCUCUGCAGCGAAAAUGAGGUUCAAAUCAAACGGUACACUAAUAGAAACAACAUUUGAUUAAAAGCCAGUCCUAUGAAACCGCCAUAUACCAUUUCUUCAAUCCAAACGGUUACUAAAUGUCCAAGGACUAAAUACAUACACCAAUUCAUUAUCGACGGAAAUCGACGGCAACCACUUCAAACACAGAAACCACAAACACUGACCAGGCAAAUCUUUUGGGAGCGUGUAAAAAGUCCCAUACUGAAACAUAUAUCCUUUAUCAAAGUAAUAAUCACAGGCCGGAGUCUUUAUUGGUGAUCUGUCGGAUCGAUCCUGCCACCACACAAGAUUGCAAGCAAAACAAUGAGAUUUGAACUCGAGUUCCUGGAACACGCUACCACUAGCCGCACGCUAUCACGCAACCACGGACUUUGAUGUGAGUAAGAAACCUGACGCAAAUUCUCUGCAUCCGCCGACAUUUGGUCUUCAAGCUUGAAACAGAACCACCAAAAAAAUCCGCAUAACAUCAAUGCAACCGUUCAUAUCAGAGCAGGGUGCCAACAUAGGUAGUCGGGUGAGUAAGCGUCAUCAUCGUGCGGCCUACCUUUGAGGCAAUUCUAAUAACAGAUACUUUCCCCACAAUCACAUGCAGUUCGUUUUCAUCCGCCACUUCAGAAUAGUAGAUUUUCUUCGGGUCGUGAUUCCGGCCUUCUUUACCCAUCAACUGUGACAUAUGACCGCCACAAUAUGUGAGUGCAAUAAACUAUCUGACGAAAACAUGAGGUAUGAAACUUUGCUCGAAUACACCAGACUCACUACGCAGAAGACCACCAGCUCAGGCAAGCAUCCAUUUGCAACUUACGGUGUCAUACGAUCUGAAGAACCACUGCGCAUGAAACCAUGGAGACUUAUCUUCCUUCUCAUAGAACUCGGUAAUUCUUCCUAUGAAGGGGUCCUCCAAGCCAGACUGCCCACGUGCCAAAACAAGUCAUUAUCGUCAAAAAUUGAUAUAGGUUUGUCAUACCGCAGGCAUAGCGAGAAAUACAGAACACCUUGCGCCAUUCACACCAUUGAAUGAAGUGUUGAUAAGAUUUCUGGCACCACAGAUGUAGUCACCACGACAUCCUUGGCGACACCAAGUUCAGCAAUAGGACAAUGCAGCCAAGAACUAUUCUUCGAUCACAAUGCACAUGAGAAGUGUGUCGUGAUGUAUAUAAGGAUGGUGCAUGAAGGUCGGUGGAGAUGGGAUCCCUUUUACAAUGAGGUUUACCCCCAAACUGAGAAGAGAGAGGAUCAGGAAGAAACUAACAUGAACGUGGACACAAUCGCCUAGCUUAUACAGUUUCCCCUCCACCUCAGCCUGCCGGUAAUGUGCGAUUACAGCAAGCGGUUGCUCUUCCACAGUCUGCGUCCUGAUCUCAGUCUUCAAGAAAUAAGCAUCAAAAAUAAAAAUGAAGUUGCAAAUGAUAAAAGGCAAUUAGGUUCAAAUCCUUCAAAUAGUACAAAUGUAUUAACGACGGAGCCGAAGUACUGAAAGUUCCAGCAGGUCACAUUCAAAUUCAUCGCGCUCGACAUUAGCUAGCUC